AUUGCUUCUUGGCCUUUUGGCUAAGAUCAAGUGUGAUUUCU
rnacentral:snRNA from 1 species